rnacentral:rRNA from 1 species
UACGAAGGGGGCUAGCGUUGUUCGGAAUCACUGGGCGUAAAGGGCGCGUAGGCGGCUUUGUAAGUCGGGGGUGAAAGCCUGUGGCUCAACCACAGAAUUGCCUUCGAUACUGCAUGGCUUGAGACCGGAAGAGGUAAGUGGAACUGCGAGUGUAGAGGUGAAAUUCGUAGAUAUUCGCAAGAACACCAGUGGUGAAGGCGGCUUACUGGUCCGGAUCUGACGCUGAGGCGCGAAAGCGUGGGGAGCAAACAGG